rnacentral:rRNA from 1 species
UACGUAGGGGGCUAGCGUUGUCCGGAUUUAUUGGGCGUAAAGAGCGUGUAGGCGGCCAGGUAGGUCCGGUGUGAAAACUCGAGGCUUAACCUCGAGAUGUCAUCGGAAACCGUGCGGCUAGAGUCCGGAAGAGGAGAAUGGAAUUCCUGGUGUAGCGGUGAAAUGCGCAGAUAUCAGGAAGAACACCCGUGGCUAAGGCGGUUCUCUAGUACGGUACUGACGCUGAGACGCGAAAGCGUGGGGAGCGAACAGG